rnacentral:rRNA from 1 species
AGCAGCCGCGGUAAUUCCAGCUCCAAUAGCGUAUAUUAAAGUUGUUGCAGUUAAAAAGCUCGUAGUUGAACUUCGGGGUCUACCCAUUGGUCAGGCUUAAUUGUCUGCACUGGUGAGAUGGAUCUCUACCUUCUGAGGAACUUUCAUGCCAUUUAUUUGGUGUGAUGGGAAAUCAGGACUGUUACUUUGAAAAAUUAGAGUGUUUAAAGCAGACUAUCGUCUGAAUACAUUAGCAUGGAAUAAUGAAAUAGGACGGACUGAUUCUAUUUCGUUGGUUUCUAGGACCACCGUAAUGAUUAAUAGGGAUAGUUGGGGGCAUUAGUAUUCAAUUGUCAGAGGUGAAAUUCUUGGAUUUAUUGAAGACUAACUACUGCGAAAGCAUUUGCCAAGGAUGUUUUCAUUAAUCAAGAACGAAAGUUAGGGGAUCGAAGACGAUCAGAUACCGUCGUAGUCUUAACCAUAAACUAUGCCGACUAGGAAUCAGACGAUGUAAUUUUUUAAUGACUUCG